CGAAUCCUGGGUAUUGAUAAGAAGAGAGAAAAUCCGUUAGAUAGAUCCAUCAGUAAAUCAUACUUCAUUGUCAAUGAUAACGUCAGUGUCACCGGGGGAUUUCCUAAAGAAUGGCGAUAAGAGUUCAAGGCCGAACAAGAACCGCAGAAUUUUUUUUUAUCAAAAAAUCGAUAAUUACGUUUUGAUUAUCGAAUUAUAUUUUGCUCCAGGAUCUUUCUUUGCGUUUUACCCUGAAUUUUCCGGCCGGAAUAUUAUUUGAAUGAUCCCCGAGGGCAAAACCACGUUUCCGGAAUGUUUGAAACAAUUUACAAUUGACAUUGUCUAGUCAUGAGACUAGAAUGUUUGGAACGGACCAUUUAGGUGAAAUAUCACACCUGGAUCACAACGUUGAGUGAAUGCUUGUGUGUCUGCGGUAAUGACGCGUUCGUAUUGAUUGAUUAAUUGACAUUCUUCAGACAGAUAUCGAAAUUCUCAAUCGUACUUAAUCACUCCGGUUCGAUAUGCAUUGUUUGUCACUGAUUUUCCGCAUAACAGUCACGGAGAUCGUAAAAUCACACGUUUAUAUUCUGAUUAAACAAUUAAUAAAGAAAUUUAACGUCACUGAGGAUACAUUGUUACUGUUAUUGUCACGUAUUUGCAUUGUUACGCAUUCGGGGCUUAAAUUCUCAAGAAGAAAAAAAAACGAGAUACGGGAAUGUGUAUUUUUUACUACUAGUCGGCAAAUGAUACCGAGAUAUCGCGUCUACCUGGUCUUCCCAGUGUAAACAUCUCAUUUGAUUACUAGUUCGUUGAUUAUUAUUAUCGCACUCCCUGAGAGAGAGACUAAUUCAUUGAAAUAUUUACUAGGUAGGACCAGACGCCGUCAUGACCUACCUUGAGGCAGUGAUUUAUUACAACGAUCCAGAUACACAUAGUCUUUUGGAAAUAAAGAAAAAAACAAAAAUUUUGAAAUACGGCGAUAGAGUGAUACAUCUCUAGUUUCUCAGGUGUACAAAUUCAUUGAUUUUGAUUUUACUCACCCGUAACGGUGAUUGCAUGCUCGAAGUCGGCACCUCCGUCGGCCAGGAAGUCGAGCCCUUAAAAUAAUUGAAAAAACAAUUGUUAUUAAUUAUCAUCAUAAUUAAUUGUUAUUAAUUAUCAUCAUCGGGAAUCAUUUCAAUCCGAUAGAACUAUCCACUCGUUCAACUCAGUGAAACUUUUGGACAUUGUGGCCUCGUCACUAGUCAAAUACUUCGUACUGGGGAUCAGUGUGGAGAGGUACCGUCUUUUAUAUUUCUACCUGGUGAGACUAGAGAUAAGAUUGUAGAAAAAUUUUGGAUGCUUUUGUUUGGAUUGGACCAUGGGGAUUAUUAGGCAGUAAAUAUGUUUUUCAGGUAGAAAAAUGUCCCAGGGACGAAAGUAUUUUGUGUAAAAAACCCAGCAAAUUCGUUAAAAAAGUAUAUUGAUGUUGGAUUUGAACUAAUCUAUUGGUACUUUCAUUAGAGAUUUUAUGAUUGCCCAUUAGAUAAAAUAUUGACCGAAAUCCACGGGAUUUGAUGCUCAUCAACCAUUUUUUUUAUUGCGAUAUUUUUAUUUCUAUUCUUUUCCUCGAUAUUCUUCUUCUUUAUCAUUUAAUCAAUCAAUAAAAUUACGCCACCGUCACCUGAAUUUUCUACUGAACAUUUCCAUCGAAGAAAUCUCCCAUUGACUUUGACUGUGCGCGGUCAUCACUCCCUCGAUCAAUUGUCCAAUCAGUUCAAUGGAUUAACCAAUACACUCACGAAUAAUCAGUAUAUGGAAGUACUACGAAUCGGUAGACAGUAAGAAUCUUGGAAUCUUAUCGUAUCUAUCGAUGACUCCAUCAUUUCAGUUAUAAAUAAUUGUUAUCGAGAGAAAUAAUGUAUCCGGUAGCUAUUUUCGUACUCGAGAAUGGCUACCUUUGUAUCGAUAAGAGCUUAAAUUUCUACGAUUAAUAUUAUCGAAGAGCUUUGCGUACGUCAAUAAAUCAAUUGAUGGCGGUUCACAAUCUCUGAAAUGUCCGUCGUUGUGAAGACGGAGGCAUCAAUAUACUCAAAUGAGUCUACGACAUCAAUGCAGAUAUCACACGAUCCGUGACACAGCAGACGUCACGGUUGCGCUUGAACUUGAGGUUAUUGGAGAAUGGAGUAUUGCACUGAGAUAAACAUCGAUACGUUCACUGAUUUCUCCUAUUGGUUCACCUGCCACGUCACGAGGAAACCCAAACUCUGCACUUCGGCAAAUUAAAAAAAAAUUUUGGAUAUGAAAAUAUUAUAUGCAUAAACCCAGAAAUGACUAAUAUUUUUAUCACAAAUAUAAGUAAAAUUGCUAAUUUUUCCGACGACCUCAAUUGGCAUUUUGUUAAAAUCAGAUUAAUCUCCUUCAAAACUAAUUCUCAAAUUGAAUUCGCCUAUUUUACUCAUUUUCCAAGGAGAUUUAAAAAAAAUUAGCGCACCUUUUUUUGAUGAAAAUCUUUUCACAUUUUCUUCUCAUUAUGGAAACGGAGGGACAUUCGACACAUUCCAAGCGUGGAAUUCUUCCUGAUCCAUAAAUUUUGUAAUUCAAUUUUCGAAAAAAGAUUUAAUUAAUGGGAUUUUUGCAGAUGAGAAAUUUUAUCACAGAUAUUAUUUUCAGACAUUUCUUGGUGGAACAACUUAUAACCGAAAUAAAUCUAAUAAAUCACGGAGAAGCCACUUUCAUUCCGUUUUAUCAAUUCACUGUCGAAUGUAAUCAGGAUUGAACACCACUGACAGGUAUCUUCAUUCGUCAAUCGUGUCCAGCGCCCAAUCACCCAAGACUAAAUAUUUGUAUUGACAAUCUCUCAGUCCCUCUCACAUCGGCACAUGCGAGUAAUCUCGAAGUGAUUAAAUCACGUGAAAAGCCGAUCACCAUGACAAGAUACAAAAUAUUUACUCACACAAUAGUACCACAACACCAUAAACAAUUCAAUAAUUAAAUAGUCCGACUCGGUGUUUCACGAAAGACAUUAGAAGACUUUAAUUAGAACGCAGAUACUCAAGGGGAUUGAAGAGACUCCGGCACUAGAACUGUAAACUCAAUUGGUUUUUCUUCCAUUGUGAAAUAAAUUUCACGGAGGGAACGACUUCCGUUUUCUUGGCUCUCGUCCCUCUACUCGUCUUUUCCGCUCUAUCUCUGAUUGAACUGUAAUUGUCAUCGUUUCUGGGCCGAUACGCUCCCAAUUGGUAUUUUCAAACUAACUCGAAGAAUAAAAAUCAAAUAACCGUCUGGAGAAUAUUGAGUGAACAGAGGGUGGAGUCGCACAUUUAUUCUUUUUUUUAUUAUCUUAAAAAUUUUACUGAUCAUGAGAUGUGAUUGGGAUCAAUGCGGUGUCGGUCUAAAGCGUGAUAAGUAGCUUGGAAAAAUGCCGCAGUAAAAAAUUCCG